AAGAGCUGCUCAUUUCUCAGAACCUGGCAACUGUGGAGGUUCUUCCCAAUGGAUCCUCUCCCACUUCACCUUUGGUUUCCUCUUCCAUGUCAGUUCCUGCCCUGUUUGAGUUCCUGUCCUGACUUCCUUACAUGAUAGACAGUGACAAAUAAGGAAGUGGCCUUUGCUUCAGUUCUCGCCUGCAGCUUCCUGCACUGCUUCAGUUCCUUUCCUCACUUCCUUCUCAGAUGGCCCUGAGUAUGCAUCAAUUCAAAAGAGCCUACCUGUCCAUCAAGUACUGAAUGGAAAAUGUUACAAUUGA